GACGAACGCUGGCGGCGUGCCUAAUACAUGCACGUAGGACGCAGUUGCGAACGGGUGAGUAACGCGUAGGUAAAUGCCUAUUAGAGGGGGAUAAAUAUAGGAAACGCUAGCUAAUACCGCAUACUCGUAGAUGGACCUGCGUUGUAUUAGGUAGUAGGUGGGGUAAUGGCCUACCUAGGCAACGAUACAUAGCCGACCUGAGCGGGUGAUCGGGCACACGUGGACAGAGACACUGCCCCGACUCCUACGGGAGGCAGCAGUAGGGAAACUUGGGCAAUGGGGGGAACCCUGACCGAGUAACGCAGCUGGAGUGAAGAAGGGUUUCGGUUCGUAAAGCUCUGUUGGUAAGGAAGCGGUACUUAACCAGAAAGGGACGGCUAACUACGUGCCAGCAGCCGCGGUAAUAC
rnacentral:rRNA from 1 species